UACGAAGGGGGCUAGCGUUGUUCGGAAUUACUGGGCGUAAAGCGCGCGCAGGCGGAUUUCCAAGUCAGAGGUGAAAGACCAGAGCUCAACUCCGGAACUGCCUUUGAAACUGGAAAACUAGGGUACGGGAGAGGUGAGUGGAAUUCCGAGUGUAGAGGUGAAAUUCGUAGAUAUUCGGAAGAACACCAGUGGCGAAGGCGGCUCACUGGCCCGUUACCGACGCUCAGGCGCGACAGCGUGGGGAGCAAACAGG
rnacentral:rRNA from 1 species